rnacentral:pre_miRNA from 1 species
CAAAUACUCCCUCCGUCCGGAAAUACUUGUCAUCAAAAUGUAUAAAAGGAAAUGUAUCUAGACGUAUUUUAGUUUUGGAUACAUCUCUUUUUAUCCAUUUUGAGGACAAGUAUUUUCGGACGAAGGGAGUAGAAA